UUAAAUUGAAGAGUUUGAUCAUGGCUCAGAUUGAACGCUGGCGGCAGGCCUAACACAUGCAAGUCGAACGGUAACAGGAAGCAGCUUGCUGCUUCGCUGACGAGUGGCGGACGGGUGAGUAAUGUCUGGGAAACUGCCUGAUGGAGGGGGAUAACUACUGGAAACGGUGGCUAAUACCGCAUAACGUCGCAAGACCAAAGAGGGGGACCUUCGGGCCUCUUGCCAUCAGAUGUGCCCAGAUGGGAUUAGCUAGUUGGUGAGGUAACGGCUCACCAAGGCGACGAUCCCUAGCUGGUCUGAGAGGAUGACCAGCCACACUGGAACUGAGACACGGUCCAGACUCCUACGGGAGGCAGCAGUGGGGAAUAUUGCACAAUGGGCGCAAGCCUGAUGCAGCCAUGCCGCGUGUAUGAAGAAGGCCUUCGGGUUGUAAAGUACUUUCAGCGGGGAGGAAGGUGUUGCGGUUAAUAACCGCAGCAAUUGACGUUACCCGCAGAAGAAGCACCGGCUAACUCCGUGCCAGCAGCCGCGGUAAUACGGAGGGUGCAAGCGUUAAUCGGAAUUACUGGGCGUAAAGCGCACGCAGGCGGUCUGUCAAGUCGGAUGUGAAAUCCCCGGGCUCAACCUGGGAACUGCAUUCGAAACUGGCAGGCUUGAGUCUUGUAGAGGGGGGUAGAAUUCCAGGUGUAGCGGUGAAAUGCGUAGAGAUCUGGAGGAAUACCGGUGGCGAAGGCGGCCCCCUGGACAAA
rnacentral:rRNA from 1 species